UAGUCAUAUGCUUGUCUCAAGUUCAUAAAAGGAUUGUUUAAGUAUAGGAAAAUUAUAUUGGGAAAUUGGAAAGGGUUAUUUAAAUAAGUUAUAUUUUAUCUAAUGUUUCUUGUUACUUGGAUAAAUGGGGGUAAUUCUAGAGCUAAUACAUGGGAAAAAAGCCCCAACUUCUGGAGGGGGUGUAUUUAUUAAAUAAAAACCAUCCUCCUCCGGAGUUGGGGGAUUCAAAAAAAAUUUUUCUAAACGCCCGGCCCUGGGGUUGGCGUGGCUUCGUUCAAUUUUAUUCCCUUGCCCUUUCCAAUGGCAAGUGGGAGGACAAACGUCCUACCCCGCGCUGAAACGGGAAAUAGGGAAUAAAGGACCCCAUCGAUUCCAGGAAAGGGAGCCUGAAAAACCGCCUACCACUUCCAAGGAAGGCGGCAGGCGCGCAAAUUACCCAUUCCCGACACGGGGAGGGAAGGAACAAUAAAUAACAAUGCAGGGCCCUUUUGGGUCUUGAAAUUGGAAUGAG
rnacentral:rRNA from 1 species